ensembl:lncRNA
UGAUUUGCACCGGCCACUGAGGAGGAUCUUGUGUGUGUGUGCUGCCCUCAGCUUCACCUGGGUUCUUAUCUCAACCUGCUUUGUAGCUUCUCGUAACUGGCACGGAGAAUGUUCUUCACAUGUGUAUAAAAACUCAGCGUUUUUACUGCUCGGAGACGUCAUUACGCCGAGCGCUGAGAUACGUGCUGGUGUGUUGGACCUCCUGCUUGCAAGCAAUAGUUAGAGCCAGAUGUCUGCGGAGAAUUGCUCAUGUAAUAUUUCUCUCUUCUAAAUAAAUGUUAAAUUUUGACUUUAAUUGAUCAACGUGCUGCGAUUCGUCUCAUCAACCAACUCGGGGGGAUCGGAGAUCCUGACAAUUUGGGUGCUCGUCCGGGAUGAGAGGUUUUCCUGCACAGGCGGAUUCGAUCUAAAACGCUUACACCUGCUGAACGCGACGUACUCCCAGGUCGGCCUCAAAACAAGGGUGUGACGACCUGGAGGCCUCCAUGAGGGCGGAAGACACACCGCUGAGGGAAGAGAGACGAGCUGCAGAAGAGCAGACCAAGACAGAAGGAUUCCCGGAGGCAGGAGAGACCGAGAGGUUUUCCGUUUCCCCUCCAAAGACAAGACAUUAGUUAAGUUUUACCGGCAAAGAUCGACUGAAGCCUGAGUUACUCCCUGUUUUGACUGUUUUCUGUUGAAUCUGAAGGACGUAAAUUAAAACCUUUGUUUGCAUUUUGAACCCGGUGUCCUCGCACUAUUUGAACUACCCCGGAGAGAGCGGCGGCGCCUCUCGUGACAUCACACAACCGAGAACGGUGUAAUUCUGAAAAACCACCUCCAUACGAGGGUAGAAAAAAAAAAAAAAGGAGAGACUGAUUCUCAAACAACAAGUCUGCUGCUGCAGAGCCUUUUUUUUAAGCUCUCCAAGCUGUUACUACACUUUUGAUUUAAAAAUAGUAGAAUUGUAGACAUGCAUUGAAGAAAGAAAAAGAAGAUUUAAAGUCUUUAAAGCAACAACGGCUAGAAUAAGCGUAAUAAAUCUCUGUUGAAGCAGCGGGGGUUUUAUGGGAGUAAAAAGGUCACAGCAGUGAGAAGAUGUGUGGGAGCAACAGUGGAGGCCAAUAAGGUUUUAUACCUCCUCACUUUAAGAAGCGCACACACAUACUGUUGAAUAAAGUUAAUCCUGUGUGCCAUCAUUUAGUGAUAUAAUUAGGUUUAUGCAUCUUUCUUGAAUACCAUGAUAUAUAAAGAAUAAAGAGGAUAAAUGGUCCGUUUGCUUUUCAGUUUAGAAGAAUAAGCUCAUCAUUACUGGGCUGUCAAAGGUCGGCCAAAAACCUUUACAUGAACAAGCGGGUUGUAGAGGGGAUUUUAUGAAAUCAACUAACAGGUUGAUGAGACAUUGCAACUUUUAGUUUCGCUGAACUACUUUCUUGUUAAGUGUAACACUUGAAUCAAGGAUUUAAAAUAUGAUGAAAAAUUAUUAGAAGAAAUAGAAAUAAACAUGAAAACAAAUUCAGCGCAGCAGGAAAGAAAUUUGUUUUGGGGAAAAACACAGCGCGCUUAUUUGGACGAAUGUAAGGAAACAUGGGUGAAACACACAGGUCAUCACCCAGGCACCGCGGGAGUGCACAGGGAAUGGUUUAGACAGGCGGUACUGGAGGGCGUACCAGAGAGUGUGAAAGCUAAAAUGAUGACUAACCCAGACCUGCCAGGUAGUGACUCUGCUGUGUGGGAGAGACAUUUGCUACACCAUUUACAAGACGCGACAGAAGAAGCGACAGGAGAAGAUAAACAGUUAAAGGAGCUGCAGGCUCGACUGCUGAAGCUCCAGCUCUCC